rnacentral:tRNA from 2 species
AGCCUUGUGGUGUUUGGCACAUCAGAUUGCAAAUCUGAAGGCGCAGGCUGACCGCCUGCCGGGGCUU